UACGGAGGGUGCAAGCAUUAAUCGGAUUUACUGGGCGUAAAGGGCGCGUAGGCGGAAAUGUAAGUCAGAUGUGAAAUCCCGGGGCUCAACCCCGGAACAGCAUAUGAAACUGCAUAUCUAGAGGAUAGGCGGAGAAAACGGAAUUCCACAAGUAGCGGUGAAAUGCGUAGAUAUGUGGAAGAACACCGGUGGCGAAGGCGGUUUUCUAGCUUAGACCUGACGCUGAGGCGCGAAAGCAAGGGGAGCAAACAGG
rnacentral:rRNA from 1 species